rnacentral:rRNA from 1 species
AACGCGAAGAACCUUACCUACGUUGAACUACGCAGGAAAAGCCAUGGAGACAUGGUGUCCGAAAGGGCCUGCGAUAGGUGGUGCAUGGCUGUCGUCAGCUCGUGUCGUGAGAUGUUGGGUUAAGUCCCGCAACGAGCGCAACCCUUGUCCUAUGUUGCCAGCGGGUAAUGCCGGGGACUCGUAGGAGACUGCCGGGGUCAACUCGGAGGAAGGUGGGGAUGACGUCAAGUCUGCAUGCCCCUUACGCGUAGGGCUGCAAACAUGCUACAAUGGCCGGUACAAAGGGCUGCUAUCCCGCGAGGGUGAGCGAAUCCCAAAAAGCCGGUCUCAGUUCGGAUUGGAGUCUGCAACUCGACUCCAUGAAGUCGGAGUCGCUAGUAAUCCCGGAUCAGCAAUGCCGGGGUGAAUACGUUCCCGGGCCUUGUACACACCGCUACAGU